rnacentral:rRNA from 1 species
UGGUGGAGCGAUUUGUUUGGUUAAUUCCGAUAACGAACGAGACUCUAGCCUGCUAAAUAGACGGGCGAUCCCUUGUGGGUCGAUCCGAUUUGCUUCUUAGAGGGACAAGUGGCGUUCCUAGCCACGCGAAAUUGAGCAAUAACA